AAUGAACGCUGGCGGCAGGCUUAACACAUGCAAGUCGAGCGAGCGGCGGACGGGUGAGUAAUGUACGGGAAACUGCCUGAUGGAGGGGGAUAACUCCUGGAAACGGUAGCUAAUAACGCAUACCAUCAGAUGUGUCCAGAUGGGAUUAGCUAGUUGGUGGGGUAAGGGCUCACCUAGGCGACGAUCCCUAGCUGGUCUGAGAGGAUGACCAGCCACACUGGAACUGAGACACGGUCCAGACUCCUACGGGACGCAGGAGUGGGGAAUAUUGCACAAUGGGCGCAAGGCUGAUGCAGCCAUGCCGCGUGGGUGAAGAAGGCCUGCGGGUUGUAGAGCACUUUCAGCGAGGAGGCGUUACUCGCAGAAGAAGCACCGGCUAACUCCGUGCCAGCAGCCGCGGUAAUAC
rnacentral:rRNA from 1 species